ensembl:lncRNA
ACAAGAUGGCCGAUGCGUCAACACAGAGGUCACUGGGUGUGAUGGGGGAAAAGCGAGGCUGUCGGGGGUUAAUGGCGCGAGAGGGUGUGGGGUUCACACACACACACACUCCCACGCACUCCGGGGUUUGUUUUCGUGCAGGUGUCGCCCGCUCGCACACGGAGGGAAGCGAAGGCGGCGGUGAAAACAAGGAGCUGCCUUCCAGUCUGCAAAAGUUUUCCAAACAGAUCAACUGCAACCGAAAACGGUUUGCGGACACAAAAUGGCGGCGCUGGCCGGGAGUGCUUUGGUGCCACUGUAGAGCUGCAGGAGGGAGGCGACGCUCGAGCCUCCUGGUUUUUGCUGCAAAAAGAACAUUUUUCCUCCUCCGGUCCUUCUGCCGUCGAGCCCGAGCCGAUCCAGCUUUUGUGAGUGUCGUGUCCACACACAGACGACAGACGAGCCGCCGUUAAAAAGAGGAACUUCCUGUUGGGAGCUGAAGCCUCACGUUUAGCGCGACGUCUCAUCGUGUUUUUGACCCCGUGUUGUUGUAUAAACUCGUGUCAGGUUAUGUCAACAUUAAAGUACUGUUCAGCCAUCCACACUUCCUGUAGAGCACCUGCCAAUCACAGGGUGUGGGCGGGCACAGUGACAUCAUCACAUGUAGCCUAGGAUGUGCCCCGCCCCUCGCCCAGUAUGAGCUGGGAGACGCACUGCGACCCUCUGCCGGGUGACACUGGUACCACCGUGAAGAGUUUUGCUUCUGAUUACAGCAACUUUAUUUAUUUAGUUGUUUCUGAUAUGAAAUGAAUAAAAUGUUCAGGUUUCAGUCACGCUGUGCAGUUUCGUGUCGGGCAGAAGAAAUCCAGAUUACGUCAGGAGCUCUGCUCGACGUCUACGUGGUUCUCAAACGCUUGCUGGUCGACAGGGGCAAGAAAGAUUUCAAAUUUUAAAUCUAUCCACUGCUUUAAUCAAUCAUAAACAAAGGUAAAUAUAACAGCUGUGAGGCUACAGAUGACCAAAACUACAAAUACAGAAACUUUAAAAAUAAUGUUAAUGUGGGCAAAAUUACACAAAAUUCAAAGAUUUUGAACUCUAAUAUAAAUUAAUUAUAUAUAAACAAUUCUAACAUUUAACACAGUAACAAUUUUCAGCUGGUUUAUAUUAGAAUAUAACAGGUGUGACGCUGAAUUAAAGGCAGAAAUGCAAAUAAAAUUAAUUUAUAGAUAUAAAAUAAAAUAACACAAAGGUAACUACAGACGCAAAUGUCAGAAAUCCAUUUGUCACAUUUUAUAUCUGAACACCCACACUUUUUUAAUAUAUUUAUAUUAUUACUAUAUAUUUGCUGAGGUGUACAGUGAUCAGGUGUGUCCCUUUUGGGAAACUACUUUCAUCCCGUCUCUCCGGAUCUACAUUGUGGGAAACUUUCCUAGGGAUCAACCAGCUCCAGAAAGUUAAGACUUGUGAGUGUGAACGGGAAGUGUUUAUCUGAACUCUGGAUACAUCCAUACUGAAACUCCGAGGUAAUACGGAGCUGAAUUGAGAGCUAACAUAGUAAAGUGCUGGUUUAGGGGAAAGUGGAAACAGGAUAUGACAGAGUACAAACACCGUCACCGUCUGUGACCUGCACGGUUUAUCUGUGAGCCAGGUCCUAAUCUGCUUUGGUUUUAGAAAAUGAGAAAAACUGGAAUAAUUAAGUUUUCCCGUGAAAAUAUCUCAGAUGAAACUGGAUCCAGAGAUCAUUCUGGUUUCACAGGCUUACUUAAGUCUCACAAUGCUCUGAAUGCUUUACAUGAACUUCGCUUCGGCCACGUCGGCCCUCCCACUAACAACACGUGCACGAACACGGUCCUGUCCUUCAGUGCUGUUCUCCGUUUUGUAUAGAUACAAGUUUGAGGGAACCGUUUCUUAUUUGCGUGAUCUAUUGUCUCAUCAUUCAAUCACCCAGGUAGGAAACGCUAAUCUAUCCCCAAAUAUUGGGAAUUCCUUUGUUCACAAACAUAAAAGUGUAUGCUCUGCUAUUACAUUUUAAAAAAUACUAAAAGAAAGAAUUUAUUUUAUUGUAAAGUGUAAUUUUGGACAGAUGGAUCAACAAACGCAGCUCUAUCAGCUUUUUUUAAACCCACCACACUUCACUCACAAAAUAUUCAAGGUUAACAAAUGCUGAUUUUUUUUCAAAACAUCAUGUUCUUCCUCAUCUCAUUUAUUUCUUAUUUAAUAAUUUAUUAAUUAAUCUAAGUAUUUGUACCUAAAAUGGGCCAAAGCCUGCUCCGUCCACGUCUUGAAUGACCCACGCUGCCCUCUGGAUGCAGAGAACAAGCGUUGCUGGAACCUGGAGCACAGAAGCUGCCGUCUGGUUGUAUUUCAGACUUCGCGUUCUUGUGUUUGCAGAGAAGAGCUCAGAGCUGGUUUCCACUCUGCUGCACAUCCACACUGGGAGCUGCCCAGUACGAACACACACUGUGCUUUUAAUAAUUACCGUCCACUUCCAUGCAUGAUAUUAUUGUAUGUAUUACUGUAGGGUCUACCUUCAAAAUAUAAAGAGCCUCAAUAUUUAAAAAAACUGAAUUGAAUAUUAUGAUCUUACAGCUGACAUCUCUAAUUAUAGUUUAAUAAGAGGUAUUUUGUGAAUAAAUAAAACCUAUAAUUUAUUUAUACUGUAUAAAUAUUAAAAGUACUUCUACAAUAAAACAUAAAAAAAUUAAUAGUUUCAAACAAUUUAAAUGAAAAACAUUUUUACGUGUAUUUAUUUCUUAAACUUAAAACAUGAUAAAGUUGUUUCAGUUUAUAUUCCUGAGAGUUUUCAUUACAAGCAGUAAAAAAAAUGCAAAUCUGAAACCUGCUAAAAUAAAUAGAUAAAUCCCCACAAACACUUUCUUACAUGACAAUGCUGACGGAUGCCAAUAGGCACCAGUAUGGCCCCCAAACUUUAUGAACUGGUCUGAGUCUGGAUGUACCGUGUACGGUACUCUACACCAGCCUUUAACAUUUGGUUCUUUCUCACUAGCCUGCUGCAUUAAGACGUUCUUUCGAGUACUGAUACACAAAAUGUGCACUGUAUGCACUCACUGUGAGUGUACUUUAAAACUGUGUUGCUCCGUUACUGAUUGCCAUCAUUGACUGUGACACAGAGGCUGUGUUCACAUGUACGGGAGGAUUUUUCCUCAGCACAGUAAACUCAAAUGUCAAAGAACAUGAAGAAGAAUUUCCCUUAAAAUCUGAGAUUAUUGUACAAAAUCUGUCACGUAAUAGGACAGAGGGAGACGUUAAACCUUUCUGUAUUUGUAACAUGUGGUAGUGCAACAAAACGCACACACACACACACAAACCUACCUUAACAUGAAUGAUUAUAAUGUUUUUGGCCACUUCACAACAUUUAAGAUUAAAACAGGUCGGUGCAAGUAACAUAUAAUAUAGCAUAAAUACAUGUGAUCAAAGUUUAGUUUAAAAUAUUUGUAAGUAUUUAAAUUAUUUUUAUUCGUUUACAUUUACAAUAAUUCAUUUUGAUAACGUACAAACGUUUUGCUUUGAAUUGUUCUGAACUAUACAGUAAGGAACCGUUCAAAAGUAAAAAUAGUUGAUUACAAGUCUGGAACUUUGUUAAUGUAGAAAAGUGUUCAAGUACUUUCAGCAAAGUAUUUGUACUUUGUAUGUACGUAGUAAUUAUGCAGCAGAACAAACACAGUUUAAAACUGUCAGUCACGUAUGGAGUAAAACGUCUGGUUUUUAUAUCAAUCGUUUGCACUUUUCCAGCUAAGUUGUUAAAAUAAAGUUCAGCUGUUAUGGGUAUUACAGAUGAAGUAAAAUUAAAAUGUAAUUAUACGACAAUUAUUAUUAAUUAUUAUUAUUAUUUAGGAAUUAACGGGAUGGACAAAAUAACAGAAACAGCUCGAUACAAGAACAAUAACCUCAUAAAACUUUCUACAUUCCCCUUUUCACUGCUAAAUUUCACCAAAAACAAACAAUGUUAACCAAAUGUUGGAUUUCUUUGCAACCCGACUCUGAGGUAUUUUUGACAGUUCAACAUCUUCUCUGUCUUCUUCUUCUUUCUUAAACUUUCUCUCAACUUUCAAACGGUUUCUUACCACGACCACAAAGUUGAUUAUUUUUAUGUCUUGUACAUCAAGUUUAAAAUAUUAGCAUAGUGUGUUGGUGUCACAAAAGGUCAUACAACCCCUUUGUAUGACACUAUCAGGAACACUGACCAUAUAACUGUAAUAAAGGUGUAAUGUAUCACAGAAUAGUGUGCCUAAUAAACUGGCAGCUGAAUGCUUUUCACAGAUGCUUGCAGUGUGUUUGUUUGAGUCACAGCUGAACUGUUUGCACAGAGUUUGGUGUGUUUGAAUAAAUGAAGGAGACGUUUUAUUUUUCAUGCCCGCUCCUACAAAACAGAAACGUGUAGAUUAAUCCUGACCUUACAGAUGUAAUCGAGGAUGUAAACAACAUCCAAUUGCUCCUUGGGGUCACUGAACGCAGCCGAGGUCGGCCCCUGAAAACGAGAUUUAAACCUACACGAGCGAUUGUGUGUUUGGGAGUAAAGGGAUCGCUGAUUUUAAAAAUACAAUAACUGUUGUUAGUCUUUCACCUCCAGAAUCGGACUGAAAUAAUAACAUGCAACAAUAUUUAGAGACUGCAGAGCUCCUGUAAUCUCAUUACAGUGAAGUCUGAAAAGCAAACCUGCACUCACAUGUGUUUUGUCUGUUGCUGAACGACCUCAGCUCGGUUUUAAUCCCAUGAAACUUCCUGUUAUUUCCAUUUUAUGAUCCAGAUUUAAGGUCAGAUCUCCUUAUCCAACACCUCAUACAACAACAACAACCAGCACAUGGCUCUUCUGCUUUCAUUUCCCUUCCACCUCCACGUUUUAGACUCCCCCAAACACACCGGCACAAACAACCUCAGACCAUCGGGUGGUCCAGGAGGGAGUCUACUGCCCCCUCAUGGACCCCAACUGAACAGUUCCACAGCAGCUCGUUCACACAUGGACCAGUAUGCUGACAUAUUUGGUCCUGUGCUAUUUACUCUGUAUGUUAGCAACCUGAAUUAAAGCGAACGACCUGCUACAACUUCACAGAUGUACGCUGAUGAUGCCAUCAACUAUCCACACGCUAAACCAAACAGGAGACUGCAGAAGAACUCUGAGUUAUACUGGUCCACAUAUCCGAUCCAUGUUUGCAUCCCAGUGUCAGUAACACUCUGGAAAGGGAUCCAGAUGUGUUUCAGUAACAGGAAAACGACGAUCAGUAUCAGAAAAUAUGAAUGUAACAAACUUAAAACACAGCGAAGAGACUUAAAAGUAGUUUGCCUAACUUCAGACGUCUCCUCCUGAGAAUGGAGGGAAAGUGUUUUUUGUGAUUUCCUUCCUUUUUGGAGCUAAAAGAGGUCACUCAAACACACCAGAUAUCCAGAAAGCCCAGGAUGUGUCCUCGACAACGGGGCAGCUCAAAAGAUAGACCAAAAACAAAUGUGCAUUAAAGAGGACAUUAAUUAAUAAGUUGGUUCCCAUAAGGAUACUGUAGGCUCUUUAGUUUACAUUAUAAACCACUUUGAUGUGACUGCUGUUGUGUUUUGGCUCUAUAUAAAUUUAAGUGAAUUAAAUUGAAUAUUAGGAAGAGUUUGUGUUCUUUAAGUUUGACGGGAUACGUGGUUAUGUGUUUGUUUUAUCAUCCACAUGCUUCUGCUCUUGUCUGUGAAUAGAUUUCUAGAUGUAGCGUCCACAGAUAGGCUGCAGAUAACAAAGAGUAUGUUCAGAUAAAUUACACAGACUUUGAAACUCUCCUGCCUGCAAAGCAGCUCCGUCCAAACCAUCAAACCUGUAGCAUCUGCUUUAACAUAGAACAGCACAAACCUGUCCCGCUGUCUCGUCUUAUGUGGGACUGCAUUGAGGUUUUAGUCUUUUUUCCUACAUUCUGGUGGUGUCCAGUAUUUCCAAGUCAACGCUUCUUUAACUUCAACACCGCAGCAGCAGUCGGCCUCCUUCGGACACGCUCAACCACGAAUCAUGUGCCUCAGUGGCGAUCUGGAGCAGUGAUGGAGCACCGAUAAAGAAUGAAAUACUAUAGAUAAGUGAAGCCGGCGGGAAGUUAUUUUUGCUAUAUUAUUCAGUUAUGCAGAGUUUACUGUGCCAAACAGCUUCAUGGAUUUAAGGGAAUAAAUGAGUGUAGCAAUGCAUGUUUAUAUUAUUCACAUAGAGACUGAGCUGGGGUAAAAUACAGUAUAUUUGUCUGUCACAUGCUGAAUACCAGACCUGUAUCCUGCACACGAGUCACCUGCCACACUGUGGGCAGGGUGAACGGGUCGGGGGGGGGUCUCAGAUCCAGGAUUAGAUCCAGUCUGGCUUAGAGUAGACCUCAGAUCCAUCACAACUGUUUCCAUAUCCCAAUGCAUUAUUCAGGCUUUCCUAUCCUAUCUUUAAUUCCUCUGGGUGCAUAUCCGUGUUCAGCAGUGUAUGCUUUAAUGUUCUGUUAAUCAAUAAUUCAUUAAGUUUGUCUAUAUUAACAGCUCGUGUGGUCAUGUCUUUGUUUCUCUUUUGUUUAAGUGUAAGAAAAUGUGUUAUAGAAAUCACAUUUUCAUUUCAAGUCACUCCUAUUUUUUCUCUUUAAUGAAGAAUACAUCAGUUAUUGCUCGUGUUUUGUAAAUAAAAUACAAGUUCUAUUAUUUUUUGCUCUUUUUAAUAAAGACGUGCAUGCUUACACUG